rnacentral:rRNA from 1 species
GAUGAACGCUAGCGGCAGGCCUAAUACAUGCAAGUCGAGGGGUAUGGGUUGCUUGCAACCCGGAGACCGGCGCAGGGGGGGGUAACCGUAACGCAUGUUCCUUAAAUCUGGGGGAAAGCCGGGGGAAUACCGGAUAAACCCUGCUAACCAUUGAUUUUUGGCAUCACAUUUAACCCAAGUUUUUUUAGGUUUAUGUUAAGCUUGCAUGACAUUAGUUAGUUGGUGAGGUAACGGCCAACCAAGACCACGAUCCUAAGGGGAUCUGAGAGGAGGCCCCCCCAUACUGGUACUGAGACACGGACCAGACUCCUACGGGAGGCAGCAGUAAGGAAGAUGGGGCGAUGGGCGCAAGCCUGAACCAGCCAUGCCGCGUGCAGGAAGCCGGCCCUAUGGGUUGUAAACUGCUUUUGGACCGGAAUAAACCUUCUCUGGCGAGAGAAGCUGAACGUACGGUAAGAAUAAGGAUCGGCUAACUCCGUG